GGGAGAGAAAGAAACUAUGGUGGCUUCUGAGAAGCUUAUUUCACUGAGAUGUUUGAGGAAUUUUCAUAUAUGGAUUUUAGAAGCUUAAAAGAUGCACUGUAGAGUGGUGGCUACAACAGAGCAGAGAGUCAAUGGAGGACAAGGAAGACUUAAAAAAAAUAUCUAGACUUCCAUGAGUCUCCUGAGGUUCAACUGAGUGUCUUCGGAUAUUUAUUAUUUUUGAUGAAGACGGAAAGAAGAAAUAAAAGCCCAUGCCAUCAGAAAACAGAUCACCAAGCCUACUGUUCUGAACACCCACCACCUGUCCUUACUGUCAAGUGAUUAAGGUCACGUCUCUGCAAUUCUCCCAUCUCAAAAAGUGACAGUCAUCCACUAAGAUAGAGUACUAUAGCUAUGAAAAUCCCCUUUCCCUUGGAAAGCUCUCUCUGGCAUGAAGUAUGAAUGCUUUUUCUAUUUUCUUUCAUGUAAAACUAUUUAAAAAGUCACAGUAGUUUACCCAAUGAAGAAAAAAAAAUAACGUGAAGAAGAAGAAAAAAAAAUCAGGAUUCAUGUUGUUAGAAUAAUUCUACCAUAAAUUCUGCUACUUUAAAUAAAUAUAUACAAGCACUGGGAACAAGGCCGUUACAUGAGGCUCCAUCUAUGUAAUGCAGCCUACACAUCUCUAGCUAUUUUAAGAUGUUUAAUAAAAGUGAUAUAAAUACUGAAACUACAACAUGCUAUUUUUAAGCUUGGCAUAGCUCACAAAAGUUGCAGCAAAUCAUCCAACUGAGUAAGAAAAUUUUUAAAAUAUCCACCUUCCCCUUGUUGUCAUUACUUGUUCACAGUUAGGAUAUAUGGGGUUAGCAGGUAAAGGCUCUUGCUACCACCCCUGAUGACCUGAAUUCACUCUGCAAGACCUGCAAGGUAUAAGAAAACAAAAGACUGACCACCCCAAUGUUUCCUCUGACUCCUACUGGCGAACAGACAUGCCUGUGUGCUCAUAUGCCAACAAAGAAGCACGUAUAAUAAUUUUAAGGAGUUAGGAUACAUUUCAGAUACUUGAGGUUGUAGAGCUGAGGGUGGAGCUCUGUUAGCAGCCUGCUAGCCUGGAAAGCACAAAGCCUUGAAUUCACCUCUCAGUGCCACCUAAAACUAAGUAUGGUGGCACCCAUCUGUUAUCCCAGACUUGAGUCACAAGUAAGAAGCCAUCCUGGGCUACAUGAGACUCUGCCCUCCCACUAAAUAUGGAAUAUAUGAUGCUUUGUGAGCUUAUUUUAAGCUGAAAUUUUCUAUGGAAAAAAAAAACAGUUGCAUGUUAACUACAGUGACAGAUAAAGACAGAGAAAGGGGUUUUGAACCAAACUGCCCUCAUAGACUCAUAUAUUUAGAGGCUUAGUCCACAAUUAGUGGAACUGUUGGAGAAGGAUUAGGAAAUAUGAGCUUGUUG